GCACAGUGACCCCAGGGAGUGAGGGCUGGCUCCAGGCUGUCCGUCUGCGGCUCCCAGCGAAGCUUCCCUGCACUCUGCAGCCAGCACCCAGCACAUCCCAGCCUUGGCACAUGCUGAAAGCCCCAGCAAAACAACCCACAACGUCAACCUGCACACCGACAAACCCAGCUCCACUCCUGCAGCUCAAGGAGGACCAGGCACUGGGUUAAAUGCUGGCACAGAAAAGAAAUUUGCUUGUCUUUAAGGCUGAGCCCUGGGGGGUGGCCAGCAGCCCCAUGGCAAUGCCCUCUGCAAGCCAAAAUGCAGCCUGCAAGCAUGGGGCGAGCAAGCGUCCUGCUCCCGGCAGUGGGGUUCACACACCCUCUGCAGCUUUCCCAUCUAUAUAAAUAUGUUAAUAAAAGAUCAGUUUGCAGACACAGCUUGCUGUAGAUGACAGCA